CAGAAAUGUAAAUCAAAGUGGGAGCCAUAGAAGAAGAAAAAUAGUUCCACCUGGACAUUUCAACUAAACUACAUACAGUUUAUACAAACUGAUAUAUUACAUGUACACAACUAUCUCCCUCUCUAUAAGACCUACUUGUUCGAUGAACUUGCCUCGCGUGUGGAGAAGUCGUGUUGCCUCAUGUUCGUUUUCUGGCGAGACUUCCCUGACGAGCUUGAAAAAAUGUUGCUAGAUGAAAACUCUGAGCAGCGAAUGAUAACCCCGGGCUUUAUAGUCCAACCCAUUUCACCCAUCUGAAGAGUUUGCCAACUCUGAAUGGCAAUCCAUAGUCUUUGGCUACAGCAGGUUCUCUUUUUGCUGUUUCGGGGUCAGACCAAACGUACACCCCACGCUCCUGACGACUCCCUGGCACAGUGUUGUCGAGGACCACAGCUACCAAGAAUGCUAUCACCAUGUGGAGUGAUAACAAUGUAUUCAAAACGUAGUUUAGCGCUCCAAAGUUUGUGCGGAUUGGACCGUGAGAAGCCACAACAUAUGGUUGAAAAUAACUCGGAACUUGCAAGUUGCUUUUCUGAGUGAUGCCGUACUGUUGGAAAUAGGCUGGUAUAGAUAGCGAUAGGAACAAAGACAGGCCAACUAUGAUAAUGUUCCUCGAGCUUCCUGCUUCACUAUAGCGUAAAUUUGACAAGCCCAAGGCGGUAAGCAUUGUCCACAUAAAGCAUAAUAGG
rnacentral:misc_RNA from 1 species